AGACUCUGGUAUGAACUGUUCUGGGAGAAGAAGCGGAGAGGAGAUUUUAAUGGACUCACUGGGAAACCAGUUCAAAUGAGAGAAAGUAGGUGUUGAUGGUGGCGGGCGAGCGGCUGACGGUCCCGACGCAUUCCGUCUUUUACGGGACAAGCCACGGUGAAAUCCACCUUGCGCCGAGUUACCUGCAUUUUGAGGUCUCCUGGACCUAGGAUGUCGUGAGCGGUGACACAGCCAAACAUGUCCUGGAUACUGCAGAGAAGGUGGGUUGCAGCUGUGGGCAGUUAUCUGGAUCAACUUGAAGCCCCGUGUUUUGAAGCUUUUCAGCGGGAAUCCUCCCACCCAGGAGUUACUACUGGACCUCUCCAGAAAAGAAUGCUCUUGUAGAACUGUGAAUGGGCUCGUUGCUGAACCGCCCUCCAACGGAGAAAUGAUGGGAGCACCUAUAACCUCAUCAGGAGCAUCAACAUAGUCUCCCUUGUUUAUCUGUCCAUUUCCUCUACAGAACUGUGAAUUCCAUGUGGCCAGGCACCCGUUAUCUAUCUCUAAGUUGGAAGAAUUUCCCAACCCCGGCAUUAUUAUAUUUGGAUCAGAUAAUUCUCUGUUGUUGGGGGCUGUCCUACGCAUCAUGAAUGUUCAGUAGCACCCUUGACUUCUACUCACUAGAUGCCAGAGGCACCUCCUCACUCCAGGGUGUGAUGGACGACUAAAAAAUGUCUCCAGACAUUGCCCCAGGAAGGCAAAAUUGCCCCCACUUAAAAAUCACUAAGCUCGGGGCGCCUGGGUGGCACAGUAGGUUAAGCGUCCGACUUCAGCCAGGUCACGAUCUCGCGGUC